AGCGAACGUUUGCGGCGGGCCUAACACAUGCAAGUCGAACGCACUAGCAAUAGUGAGUGGCGCACGGGUGCGUAACACGUGGGUAAUCAACCCUUCAGCUUGGGAUAACGACUUGAAAGGGUCGCUAAUACCGGAUACGGCGCGAGAGGCUUCGGCAUCUCACGAGAAAGCCUCGCAAGGGGCACUGAAGGACGAGCCUGCGGCCCAUCAGCUAGUUGGUGAGGUAAGAGCUCACCAAGGCGAAGACGGGUAGCUGGUCUGAGAGGAUGAUCAGCCACACUGGGACUGAGACACGGCCCAGACUCCUACGGGGGGCAGCAGUGAGGGAUUUUCGGCAAUGGGCGAAAGCCUGACCGAGCGACGCCGCGUGAGCGAAGAAGGCCUUCGGGUCGUAAAGCUCUGUCUAGGGGGAAGAGGAAGGACGGUACCUCUGGAGGAAGCCACGGCUAACUACGUG
rnacentral:rRNA from 1 species